GAGAGGGACGCACUCUAACCGUUCGAUCAAGCAAUUUAAGUGGUGGGAUGGUAACCAGUAAUGGUAAUUUCCCAUCCUCGUUGUGGAUCUAUAAGGGACAUGAGGUGCUAUUUCUAAUUUUAUGCUAAUAAAAACGUAAGAGCUAGGGGAAACAGUGAGGUCCCCUUUUUCGCUGCAUGGAAACGCACAAAUCAAAGAAAAUAUAACAGAGCUCGCAUGGUCUCAUUCUAUAUAAAGCACCAAGGUUAACCAACUCUUUGUUUUAUUAUUUUGCACUCCCAUACACACAGUAGCGCACGCACACUCCCCACCCCAGCAUUGCUUACAGAUUCUCCACCUUUAAAUAAAACCAAUCACUUCUUACCCGCCAAGCUAACUUUCUACCAAAGAACUUGUCAAAUUGCCCUGCUUUGCCUCCUUCACUCUUCAGCCUACCCAUCUAAGAGAAGAGCUCCAUGCGCACAUUGCUCCUCAAGAUAACAACAUGUCUGUCCUGAGUUCUUUUCACAUCUCCAUUUUGAAUGGCCAGCUAUUAUUCUUUAUUGAAAAGUAGUGGGAGCAGAGAGGAUAAAACAUGGGGAGGGGUGGUAGGAUUUUGAGGGCCCUAUUAGGAGCUGUUAUAUUUUGGGGGGUGAUUUGGUUCUUGUAUGUUGGAAUCCUACCAAACCAUGCAACGACACUAAUGGCAAGAAUUAGAGUUCCAGCAGCCGGGACUUUCCAGCAUCUGAAGCUAUCUGGAAGAGAGAGUCAUCUUAUUCGUCAUGACAUGGAUCUCAAUUAUGUGAGCAAGAGAAGAGUGCCCAAUGGACCCGAUCCUAUUCACAACAGGAAAACAGUCCAGUCUAGACAACCACCUGGUCAAUCCUAAGUUUGAAGCGACCAAGAACCUUUAAACUUGCGAGGAAGAAUCACAUCCAUUGAGUUUUAGGGUUGCAUGGAGUACUGCUAGAUUUCAGUGGAAAAAUCACUCUUGUAUUCAACUAAAACAUUGUCAUUGCUAGGGGCUGUGAGUGCACAGAUAUGUUAUGCUUGGAUUUCCUGCAGUUUAUAUAUUUGGAGUUUGUUGAGUGAUUACCGUAAUUAUUAGUGCUAUAGAAUUUGGAGACUA